UUUAUGGAGAGUUUGAUCCUGGCUCAGGAUGAACGCUGGCGGCGUGCCUAAUACAUGCAAGUCGAGCGAACAGACGAGGAGCUUGCUCCUCUGACGUUAGCGGCGGACGGGUGA
rnacentral:rRNA from 1 species